GAGUGAUCCAAACAGAGCAACUAAACUUGCCGAGAAGUUUUCUGAGCUUUACGAUAAUUCGUGGAACGAUGCAUACGAGGUUCUAGAAAUAUCUGACGAGAAAGAGUGUAUCCAGUACCUGCUUAAUAUAAUAGUCGAAUCAUAUAGCAUGUGUGCGGGUAUUUCAAAUAACCAACAAAGAGCCCUUGCUAGAGCAUUACAUUAUCCAACUGAAGGGUUGAGCAUUAAGACAAUAACAAAUGAGGUGAGUCAUGACAGCGAUCUAAACCUAUCUAAACUCCAGUCAAGAACCUUAUCAGAUUUACGAAAAACAUCAGCUGAAUUGUCGAUUGAGGAUAUGAAAUCG